GAUGAACGCUGGCGGCGUGCCUAAUACAUGCAAGUCGAGCGAAGCGGGGAAGGGUGUGUAACACGUAGAUAACCUCCUAUAAGACUGGGAUAAAUUCUGGAAACCGGAGCUAAACCCGAUGAUUAGCGAUUGUUCCGUGCUGCAUUAGCUGGUUGGUAAGGUAACGGCUUACCAAGGCAACGAUGCAUAGCCGACCUGAGAGGGUGAUCGGCCACACUGGAACUGAGACACGGUCCAGACUCCUACGGGAGGCAGCAGUAGGGAAUCUUCCGCAAUGGGCGAAAGCCUGACGGAGCAACGCCGCGUGAGUGAUGAAGGCCUUCGGAUCGUAAAACUCUGUUAUUAGGGAAGCGGUACCUAAUCAGAAAGCCACGGCUAACUACGUGCCAGCAGCCGCGGUAAUAC
rnacentral:rRNA from 1 species